rnacentral:rRNA from 1 species
CGAGCGAGAGAGAGCUGCUUUUCGAGCGAUGGCGAACGGUGAGUAACGCGUGAGGAACCUGCCUCAAAGAGGGGGACAACAGUUGGAAACGACUGCUAAUACCGCAUAAGCCCACGGUGCUGCAUGGCACAGAGGGAAAAGGAGCAAUCCGCUUUGAGAUGGCCUCGCGUCCGAUUAGCUAGUUGGUGAGGUAACGGCCCACCAAGGCGACGAUCGGUAGCCGGACUGAGAGGUUGAACGGCCACAUUGGGACUGAGACACGGCCCAGACUCCUACGGGAGGCAGCAGUGGGGAAUAUUGCACAAUGGGGGAAACCCUGAUGCAGCGACGCCGCGUGGAGGAAGAAGGUCUUCGGAUUGUAAACUCCUGUUGUUGAGGAAGAUAAUGACGGUACUCAACAAGGAAGUGACGGCUAACUACGUGCCAGCAGCCGCGGUAAAACGUAGGUCACAAGCGUUGUCCGGAAUUACUGGGUGUAAAGGGAGCGCAGGCGGGAAGACAAGUUGGAAGUGAAAUCCAUGGGCUCAACCCAUGAACUGCUUUCAAAACUGUUUUUCUUGAGUAGUGCAGAGGUAGGCGGAAUUCCCGGUGUAGCGGUGGAAUGCGUAGAUAUCGGGAGGAACACCAGUGGCGAA